GAAAAAUUAGUUAAUCAAAUAACGUAAGCCUGUCACGCUUAAAUAAUCAUUAUUUAUGAUAUUUUUCG
rnacentral:tRNA from 1 species